rnacentral:rRNA from 1 species
GGUCAGGAUGAACGCUAGCGGCAGGCUUAACACAUGCAAGUCGAGGGGCAUCGGGAGUAGCAAUACUUGCCGGCGACCGGCGCAAGGGUGCGUAACGCGUGAGCAACAUGCCCGUAUCAGGGGGAUAAUCCAUGGAAACGUGGUCUAAUACCCCAUAGUAAUUAUGUAAGGCAUCUUAUAUAAUUUAAAGCUUUGGUGGAUACGGAUUGGCUCGCGUGACAUUAGCUAGAUGGUAAGGUAACGGCUUACCAUGGCUACGAUGUCUAGGGGUUCUGAGAGGAAGGUCCCCCACACUGGAACUGAGACACGGUCCAGACUCCUACGGGAGGCAGCAGUGAGGAAUAUUGGACAAUGGAUGGAAAUCUGAUCCAGCCAUGCCGCGUGCAGGAAGACGGCCCUAUGGGUUGUAAACUGCUUUUGUAUGGGAGCAAUAAGGGCUACGUGUAGUCCGAUGAGAGUACCAUACGAAUAAGCACCGGCUAACUCCGUGCCAGCCGCCGC